AUUGAACGCUGGCGGCAGGCCUAACACAUGCAAGUCGAACGGUAGAAGGGAACAUGUUGCUGUUUCGCGGGCGGGUCGCGGACGGAAGGCCUAUGAAUGUGCCAGGGAGUGGUGGAUAACGUUCACUAAUGGACACUGAAGCCGAUAACGCAUAACGUCACAAGAUCAGAGAGCUGCGCAUUCCAGGCUCUUAGCUUAGGCUAGGUCGGAUUAGCUAGUAGGUGGGGUAAGGGCAUACCAAGGCGACGAUCCGUAACUGGUCUGAGAGGAUGAUCAGUCACACUGGAACUGAGACACGGUCCAGACUCCUACGGGAGGCAGCAGUGGGGAAUAUUGGACAAUGGGUGAAAGCCUGAUGCAGCCAUGCCGCGUGUAUGAAGAAGGUCUUCGGGUUGUAAAGUACUUUCAGCGGGGAGGAAGGGCGGUAAGUUAAUACCUUGCUGCAUUGACGUUACCAGCAGAAGAAGCACCGGCUAACUUCGUG
rnacentral:rRNA from 1 species